rfam:Candidatus Accumulibacter sp. BA-93 contig000039, whole genome shotgun sequence.
GGGCAGGAUAUGUGAAGUAGGCCCACCCGCAAGCGGGUCGUCCUUCUUCACGAAGCCCUUAUUCGCACUGCGUGCUCAACGGGGGCUGAUCGGCAAGCUG